GACGUAGGGCGCGAGCGUUGUCCGGAUUUAUUGGGCGUAAAGAGCUCGUAGGCGGCUUGUUGCGUCGGCUGUGAAAACCUGGGGCUUAACUCCGGGCCUGCAGCCGAUACGGGCAGACUAGAGUUCGGCAGGGGAGACUGGAAUUCCCGGUGUAGCGGUGAAAUGCGCAGAUAUCGGGAGGAACACCUAUGGCGAAGGCAGCUCGCUGGGACGUUACUGACGCUGAGACGCGAAAGCGUGGGGAGCAAACAGG
rnacentral:rRNA from 1 species